AAGAAUUUAGUUAAAUUUAUAACAUUAACUUGUCAAGUUAAAAUUAUUAAACAAUUAAUACUUCUUG
rnacentral:tRNA from 1 species